rnacentral:rRNA from 1 species
UACGAAGGGGGCUAGCGUUGCUCGGAAUCACUGGGCGUAAAGCGCACGUAGGCGGAUUGCUAAGUCAGGGGUGAAAUCCUGGAGCCCAACUCCAGAACUGCCUUUGAUACUGGCGACCUUGAGUCCGGGAGAGGUGAGUGGAACUGCGAGUGUAGAGGUGAAAUUCGUAGAUAUUCGCAAGAACACCAGUGGCGAAGGCGGCUCACUGGCCCGGUACUGACGCUGAGGUGCGAAAGCGUGGGGAGCAAACAGG